rnacentral:hammerhead_ribozyme from 1 species
GCCGAAACGUGCUGAUCAAGCACGUCCCUCAGAGGUGGCCUCCUGAGGCUGAUGAUGGC